rnacentral:rRNA from 1 species
UCCGUAGGUGGACGAUUAAGUCAGGGGUGAAAGUCUGCGGCUCAACCGUAGAAUUGCCCUUGAUACUGGUCGUCUUGAAUCGUUGUGAAGUGGCUGGAAUGAGUAGUGUAGCGGUGAAAUGCAUAGAUAUUACUCAGAACACCGAUUGCGAAGGCAGGUCACUAACAACGUAUUGACACUGAUGGACGAAAGCGGUGGGGAGCGAACA